rnacentral:rRNA from 1 species
AGUGAACGCUGGCGGCGUGCCUAAUACAUGCAAGUCGAACGGAGUGGCGCACGGGUGAGUAAUAUAUAGCUAAUCUGCCCCUUGCUGGAGGACAACAGUUAGAAAUGACUGCUAAUACUCCAUAGCAAGGGAUGAGACUAUAUCGUAUCAGCUAGUCGGUGGGGUAACGGCCUACCGAGGCUAUGACGCGCAACUGGUCUGAGAGGAUGAUCAGUCACAUUGGAAGUGAGACACGAGCCGAGCUCCUUCGGGAGGCGGCAGUAGGGAAUAUUGCGCAAUGGGGGUAUCCGUGACAGAGCAGCGCCGCGUGGAGGAUGACACUUUUCGGAGCAUAAACUCCUUUUGUUAGGGAAGCGGUACCUAACGAAUAAGCACCGGCUAACUCCGUGCCAGCAGCCGCGGUAAUUC